GUAAGGAGUAAGUAUUCCUGAUGACUAUGUGUUUUGUUGAAGAAUAACCAUGAGACACUUGAGCGCACUAAUGAAUUUUUUAAUGACAUCAUUCCAAGUGCUCAUGCUUUGUUGCAAUCUGAGAGAAAUCAGAAUGUCAAGAAUCAGGGCUUCCUGAGUUACCAUAGUUUGAUGUUUGAGCCCUUUUUGUCAUUGGGUCAAUUGAGCCCCUUAACCUUCCGUGCUGUUCACUGCUGUUUCAAGCAGUAACACCACAGUACCUCUUUUAGGUAGGAGUGAAGCAGAAUUUGUUUUCAUAACCCUGGCGUAAUUUUUAUAUCAUUCAGUGCUGCCAGGAGAGAGCACUAGAGGCCUCUCACCAUGUUGAACAGUUGUGUUCCUCUUAAUUCAGAGAAUUUUGAAAGUGAAUCUCGUGACAAUAUUUCUCUUCUGUAAAGAAAAGUCAUUCAUUGGAGCUGUAUGGCUUGAAAGAUUUUACACUUUCUUCGCUUUUUCAUUGUCAUCCAGUCACAGUUCCAUUGUCUCGAAACCAAGAUAGUUGCUCUGAAACACUGACACCUUCCACCAUUCUCUUCAUCCUUUAUUUCUUAUGUGUCUGGCUUUUCUCUUUGGCCCAAAUUGGACCGACUGUUUUUAAUGAUACAGGGACUGACUGUGGGGUAUGUUCUAUUGACAAUGCUUCUUUGUGACACAUUGUCCAGUGUUUGUUUGGAAAGCCUAGUACACGUUUUGUUUCUAUCUUACUUGCAAAUCAGGGAAAGGAAAAAUCUACAAAGAACUUGAAAGGUGCUAUUUUAGUAAACAUUUCAGAAGUUUCAGAAGUAAAUUCCCUCUAUUUCGUGCAGGAUUUCCAUUGUACACUUUAGCUUUGAAGAAAAACAAAUCUUCAUGUCUUAGAAUAUUUGAUUUAUAUGUUAUCUACUGAGUGAUCUUCUUCUUGGGAAGAAGUCACGAGAGAGAAUGUUUUGCUCAGGUUCACCUCUCCCUUAACGAAGUUGAUACCAGCGAAGUGAAAUCGAAGUCUGAAAAGCUGCCUCUGCAGAAAGAAAAUACUCAACUUAAGAUCCAAAAGAAUAAGGCAGCGAAAGGGAACUGGGGGACAACUGUGAUGCACUUAGGAGUGUGAAAGGGGCAAAGGACGCCAAAUGGGACACACUGAAGAAGAAUGUAGACAUUCGUGAUGGAAUGUGUGGACAAAGACAGAAGCUCACAGAAGAGGAGCUGGGACUGAAAGAAUGGGAGCAGGUGGAAGGGGAGAAGCAGCUGUCAGUUACAGAGGGGAAAGUGAAAUUAGCUGCAGAAGAGCUGUGGAACUGCAAGUGAGUGCAGCUCCUACCAGCAGCUCAUGCGACAGCCAUUGAAUUAGUUUGAAACCUUGUAUAGUGUUUAGACCCAAAUAGCACACAAAUAUACACAAAC